rnacentral:rRNA from 1 species
AUUGAACGCUGGCGGCAGGCUUAACACAUGCAAGUCGAGCGGAGCGAGGGUGCUUGCACCUUAGCUUAGCGGCGGACGGGUGAGUAAUGCUUAGGAAUCUGCCUAUUAGUGGGGGACAACAUUCCGAAAGGAAUGCUAAUACCGCAUACGCCCUACGGGGAAAGCAGGGGAUCUUCGGACCUUGCGCUAAUAGAUGAGCCUAAGUCAGAUUAGCCAGUUGGUGGGGUAAAGGCCUACCAAGGCGACGAUCUGUAGCGGGUCUGAGAGGAUGAUCCGCCACACUGGGACUGAGACACGGCCCAGACUCCUACGGGAGGCAGCAGUGGGGAAUAUUGGACAAUGGGCGCAAGCCUGAUCCAGCCAUGCCGCGUGUGUGAAGAAGGCCUUUUGGUUGUAAAGCACUUUAAGCGAGGAGGAGGCUACUUGGAUUAAUACUCUAGGAUAGUGGACGUUACUCGCAGAAUAAGCACCGGCUAACUCUGUGCCAGCAG